CCACUACCAUGGAACCUGCUGCAGUAUUAUGAGACCUAGUUGUUGUAUGUAUAUCUGGGAUUCGAUCGUUCUAUAACUCCACUCUUGUUCCAACAUCUCAGCCGCCGUCGUCGCUUCUUUCUCCGCGGCUAGUUUUCCAAAAGGCAAAGGAGGCAUUACAUCAAGAACUAUUAUAAUCAUUGUUUCUUCUGUAGUAGUUAUCAUUAUAGCACUUGUUGCGUUCACUUGUGUCCUUGUUAUACAAAGGAGAAAGGCAAAGCAGGAGACCAGAAGUAAUAAGGAGAUAGAAGAUGUUGAUGAAAUUGAUAAUAUGGAAUCCUUGCAAUUCGACUUCAGUAUUGUCAGAGCUGCAACAAAUGACUUCUCAAAUGCAUAUAAAUUAGGCAAUCUCGACACCAAAUUUUUCUAUGAAAAGGGGUUCAGUUUGGAAGAUAUCGGGACCAUGGUGUCGAGUUUGCCUAAUUUAUAUGCUCUCAGCUUGACAGAGAGCUUGAUACCCAAACGGGAGUUCUUUUUGACCAUGGGUAUUCAAAACCUGAGCUGAUUAAGUUUCCUCAGUAUUUUAGUUACAGUUUGGAACAGAGAAUCAGACCAUGUUUUGCACUUGUCAAGGAGUUAGGAGUGAAAAUCGGGUUGGACCGCAUGCUAGUAUGACCACACUGUGACUUUGAGAAAGUUUUGAAGAUGAAGAGAAAUAAUAUGUUUGCUGACGAGCUUUCAAGUCAUACAGAGAGCAAGUAAUAUGAUCAUUGGUCAGGAAAUGGAUUGUAUGGCUUCUCAGUGGAGUGCUCAUUUAGAUGGAGCAGCUCGGUGGUACAAUUUUCAAGCUUGACUUUAACAAAUUUGUUGGAGGUAUCUUUGAGUGUUGUCCACAGUGUGGUCAGUCCUUUUCAUCAAUUGUUUCUCUAUAAUCCUUGUAUUAACAGAAGUUUUCUCUUCUGCAUUACUCUUUCUUACAAGUUAGUAUUCCCAGGAUGCAUGGAAGUGAAUUCAAUCAUUGUUGUUUGGAUGAGACUCUCUUCCUUAUCAUGCAAUUUUUUUUUUGGUUGCAAAUUCUUUUUCUACUUCAAUGUAAAUCUUAGAUGUAAUGGCUCUAGUACUUGUUCUUUGUUUGAAGGUGAGGUUAAUAUU